rnacentral:rRNA from 1 species
AGUGAACGCUGGCGGUAGGCCUAACACAUGCAAGUCGAACGGCAGCACAGGAGAGCUUGCUCUCUGGGUGGCGAGUGGCGGACGGGUGAGGAAUACAUCGGAAUCUACCUUUUCGUGGGGGAUAACGUAAGGAAACUUACGCUAAUACCGCAUACGACCUACGGGUGAAAGUGGGGGACCGCAAGGCCUCACGCGAUUAGAUGAGCCGAUGUCCGAUUAGCUAGUUGGCGGGGUAAUGGCCCACCAAGGCGACGAGCGGUAGCUGGUCUGAGAGGAUGAUCAGCCACACUGGAACUGAGACACGGUCCAGACUCCUACGGGAGGCAGCAGUGGGGAAUAUUGGACAAUGGGCGCAAGCCUGAUCCAGCCAUACCGCGUGGGUGAAGAAGGCCUUCGGGUUGUAAAGCCCUUUUGUUGGGAAAGAAAUCCUGUCGAUUAAUACUCGGUGGGGAUGACGGUACCCAAAGAAUAAGCACCGGCUAACUUCGUGCCAGCAGCCGCGGUAAUAC